rnacentral:rRNA from 1 species
AUUGAAACUUCGGUCGAUUUAAUAUAAUUCUAGUGGCGGACGGGUGAGUAACGCGUGGGUAACCUGCCUUAUACAGGGGGAUAACAGUCAGAAAUGGCUGCUAAUACCGCAUAAGCGCACAGAGCUGCAUGGCUCAGUGUGAAAAACUCCGGUGGUAUAAGAUGGACCCGCGUUGGAUUAGCUGGUUGGUGGGGUAACGGCCCACCAAGGCGACGAUCCAUAGCCGGCCUGAGAGGGUGAACGGCCACAUUGGGACUGAGACACGGCCCAGACUCCUACGGGAGGCAGCAGUGGGGAAUAUUGCACAAUGGGGGAAACCCUGAUGCAGCGACGCCGCGUGAAGGAAGAAGUAUCUCGGUAUGUAAACUUCUAUCAGCAGGGAAGAUAGUGACGGUACCUGACUAAGAAGCCCCGGCUAACUACGUGCCAGCAGCCGCGGUAAUACGUAGGGGGCAAGCGUUAUCCGGAUUUACUGGGUGUAAAGGGAGCGUAGACGGUGUGGCAAGUCUGAUGUGAAAGGCAUGGGCUCAACCUGUGGACUGCAUUGGAAACUGUCAUGCUUGAGUGCCGGAGGGGUAAGCGGAAUUCCUAGUGUAGCGGUGAAAUGCGUAGAUAUUAGGAGGAACACCAGUGGC